AUUUAACAGGUAGCUGCCAGUUGGUCCACCAUUCCUUGUUUCUCUAAGAACACCUCAACAGCAAGCUAGAGUAGUGAUCUCUAAACUGUGGCCCUCCAGAUGCCAAUGGAGAGCCACAGUUUGGCGACCACUGAUGUACAGUGAUCAGAUAUUGUUGUAAUGACAUACAAAAUACAUAAAAAUUGUACAAGUGGAGCAGUGUGAAAUAAUUCAAGAAGGUAGGAGGGGGAAUGCUGGCACGACAGAGAAGUACCUGCUGCUGAACUGAACACAGCUUGGUCAUUUGCUGAACACUAUUAAUGUCAAGUUCAGAUAAACCCUGAGUGGCAGCGAUACUGUGUAUAUACGGAAAACCCUCAUCCUGAGCCAGUGAAGCGCUCUGCUGAAUCAUGCAAUUCCUCCAAUAAGAGCUGCCACUCUAACCUCAAUAUAUACAGCCAAUAAGAGACAAGCUGGAGAUGAACAGCAGCUGCACAUCACUCACAGGUUCACCCUGGAUCUGCAACCGUUCUAAAAUAGGAUUUUGA